GCCCGGGGCCGCUCCCGAGCUUUCUCCCCUCUUCCCUGGAGAGCGACUGUUCGGGAGGGUGAGAAUGGUAUAAAUUUCAAAAACAACGAAACCUUCUUUUGCCCCCUCCGCAGCAGUCGCCUCCGGGCUUUAUUGCAAGUUUACGGAAAACCCGAAAGAUGGAGCCUCAGGUUCGCGCUCUGCGUUGCGGGUGCUGGAACCGAGAUUCAAAAAGAGCUUCCGGAGGGGGGAACGGUCUGGAGGGCAGCUCAGGGUACAAUUGCGCCUUGUUAGUGAAAAGGCGCCCUGCUUAUUUUCCGGAGUAUAUGUGUGUGCCUCUGCGUUUAUUCGUCUGUGAGCUCAUUGUCUGGAUUCACCUAUUGUGACAUUGUGUUCACACGUUUGUCCGAAUGGUAAGCAAAACAUUUCCUCCUGUAGCUUAACAUAGCCCUUAUGUAAAAAUAAAUAUCUGCAGGCGAAUAUAGGUUCCAUACAAGUAAAUCCGAAAAAAAGUGUGUGUGGGGGGGUCCACACCACUAAUUAUUAUGGCGAGGAAGAUAAAGAAGACAUGGACAGAAGGCGGAUGGCUCUGCGGCCUGGCUCCCGCAGACCGACCGCCUUCUUCUUCCAUUCGAGAUGGCUCGUACCGAACCUCCUUGCCUUCUUCCUGGGUCUCUCGGGGGCUGGACCAAUACAUCUGCCGAUGCCCUGGCCGAAUGGCAGGCGACAUCGGGUCCUGGACCCCCACACGCAGCUCAGUACCCACGAGGCCCCAGGCCGCUGGAAGCCUGUAGCUCCGCGGACGAUGAAAGCCUGCCCGCAGGUUCUCCUGGAGUGGUGAGCCUCUGUCGGAAGGGGGCGCCCACGUCUUUUUAAUGGUCCUAACACACCAGUGGAAUAAAUCUCUAAGAUUCCACAUCUUUUGUUUGCUCUGAAUUUAUUGCGAGUGAAAAACAGAGAAAAUCCUCAAGUUUAAGUUUCUGAUAGCAGAGUGUGGGAGUUAGAGCAUGGGGAGUCCAGAGGUUCCAGACCCCCAAAGGUCUCUACCAGGGCCAUCUCCGUUAGUGGCGGUGGCAGCCCCUCUUGUGGCCUUUUUCCUCUCUCCAAGGGGUCACCCCGCACCAUGCCGCUCCCCCUCAUCUAUCUUGCCCCCUCCCCACAGGCCCAUCUGCGCUGAACUCUCGCCAGUUCCGAAGUCGGCGAGGGAGGGGGUUUACUUGCCCGAUCGUUGGUGGGUUUGAGCUUAUAGAGGCAGAGGAGUAAGAACCUGCGAUAUUGAAAGCUACCCACAUGGGGCUUCCUUGAAGGAGGACGUGGAAGGCAGAAAGUGACCUGCUCUGAGCGGCGCAUGUAACCGAGGACCUUAAGCUGGACCACGGGGCUUGGACGAUUUUUUAAAUCAGGAAAUCGACCUCAUCUUCCUCCUCCUCGUCCUCUUCCCCUGAACCCCCAGUCCGCAUGCACUCACACUCUUUGGCCUUUUCCCUCAGUCCCGGGCUCCUCUUUGGUAAAUAGAUUUGUAGGUGUCUAAGUCACGUCCCACCCUCACUCCUUCCCAGGAGAGGAGACAGGGCUAGGAUCCCACCCGACCGCGGGCCAUAAACACUUGGCUGCGG
rnacentral:lncRNA from 1 species